CAGAGCCUCAAAGAGCACCCAGCAUAACUGUGGGAGAAUAGUAAGCAUUGGACACAAAAUGGUUUAGGCAAAUAAUGAUGAACAAAAAUGGUCAGUCUGUGUUCCUGCUGACCCAGCACAGUGGGGACGCUGUGUAGGACAUGACCUUUGGGGGAAAGGACACAAGAACUCAGCGUGGGGGAUCCAGAAAAGAAGUCGCACGUAUUGAAGCCAGUAACGCCAAGCCAGUGAAUUCUCCUUGACGAGAAAGACCCACUUACUCUGCAGAAGAGAUAUAUGACAGCUGACAAUCCCUGGAGGAGAAUCUUUCUACUAAAUUGGUAAGGGAUGCUAAGCAAAUGAUGUGGACUCAGGAAACAACGCAUUUCAUGAUAUACGGUUGCCUCUCAAGGUGAAUUCGAGACCCCUCUUGAAUUACAAAGAGUUGAAAACAUUCAAGUACGGAAUAAACUAUUACUGCGAAUACGCUCAUAUGACACAAGAACAAUCUCUGAGCUUCUUUGAGGAUGUCCAGAUGACUGCUGACUGCACUAAUUGCAUCAAUCGUGUAUCCAUACAGGUUCUUUCUAUAAAAUAGUGGUCGCUAGUUAUGAGGCGUUAAGCCUUCAUGGAUAUAAACAGACUAUUCCACCUAAGUGAUCUGGCAGAAGCUUAGUUUUCUACCACAACAUCCACCGUCCUCCCUCCCUCCCUUCCUAGCUGGUCAGAAAAGCUACUCAGAAUAAAGACUACAUUUCCCAGCCAUCUUUGCAGCUAGGUUUAUCCACCUGACUAAAUUCCACCGGCCUGCCACAAGAAUACGAAGGCCAGAGCUCCAGCAGCUGUUGGAG
rnacentral:lncRNA from 1 species